rnacentral:rRNA from 1 species
GAUGAACGCUGGCGGCGUGCCUAAUACAUGCAAGUCGAGCGAACAGACGAGGAGCUUGCUCCUCUGACGUUAGCGGCGGACGGGUGAGUAACACGUGGAUAACCUACCUAUAAGACUGGGAUAACUUCGGGAAACCGGAGCUAAUACCGGAUAAUAUAUUGAACCGCAUGGUUCAAUAGUGAAAGACGGUUUUGCUGUCACUUAUAGAUGGAUCCGCGCCGCAUUAGCUAGUUGGUAAGGUAACGGCUUACCAAGGCAACGAUGCGUAGCCGACCUGAGAGGGUGAUCGGCCACACUGGAACUGAGACACGGUCCAGACUCCUACGGGAGGCAGCAGUGGGGAAUCUUCCGCAAUGGGCGAAAGCCUGACGGAGCAACGCCGCGUGAGUGAUGAAGGUCUUCGGAUCGUAAAACUCUGUUAUUAGGGAAGAACAAAUGUGUAAGUAACUGUGCACGUCUUGACGGUACCUAAUCAGAAAGCCACGGCUAACUACGUG